UCAAAAACGUGAUGAUCAUCUUCUUCAUGAAAGAAAAAUUUCAAAUGCCCAUAACGUUUUCGCUUCUCAUCAGAAUUGCGUGAUUCUUGCGGCCAAGGAACGAGGAAGCGAUUAUCUACAGCUCUAUGGCAUCAAUUUGAGAUUGGACGAGCGACUGUCGACAAGAAGUGAGGCAAACGGAUCGAGAUAUCGUCAUGCUUAUUUGAAUAAUUUGGAUAGCAAGUGGGAUAGCAUGAUAUGAUUUGGAGAGUCAAUCUUCCGAAGUUCUAAUUCUCGGAAGUGAUUUUUACAAGAAGAAAAAGAAAGUUUUCAUUCUAGCGGUCCGCAGUAGUCUAGAUUGUUUUUGUCUAUGUAUUUGUAUAACACAUUUUAACUCUGAUUUUAUUUGUAAAUGAGGUCACAUGUAUUUUAUAUAUGAAAUAUGAUUUGAUUUGCGAAAAAUUUA